ensembl:lncRNA
AGGGCAUACACAUGACUUACAUGAAACCAGUGUUGGCACCGCACACUACAGUCAACAACUCCAGGAGAAAUAAAUAGAAAACAACAGUGAAUAGGAGAAAUUCGAACAAACAGAAGAUCGGGUCAGUAUGUUUGCUUCUCAAAAUAAUUCCCAAAAGUAAUGUAACACUGGUAACAUCCAUGUUUUCGUGCUUCUUGUAGCUCAUGUAAAUAUCAGAUAAAUAAAAAAAUCAAAAGUGGGAAUAAUAUUCCUUACUUAAAAGAAGAAAAAUGUACCUGGGUUGUUACAAAGCAUUAAUAAAGAUGCCAAUCGGCAUCAUCUGGUGUGAAAUGACGUUUACUGUAGAGUUCUAGAAUCAUUGACACCUAGAAGCUUCUAGAACCAUCCUGAAGAGGAAUGCACCUGUUCAGGUAACCGGGAGUAAGUUUUUAUGACGGGUGAGUAAAGCAGUCUCUUUAAUAUCUAGUGGCAUGAAUUAAUUUAAAAGUUUUCAAAUGUAAUGUAUGUCUGAACAAUGUAGCAACCCAUGAGAGAAUAACUAUGCCAAACUGAUUUCAUGAGAAAACUAUUUUACCAGGUGUUGAUUCAGAAUGAAUUCAUAUGAUGUGAUUUUUAUGUAUGAUUCAAAAAAUAAAAGUGAAGUUCCACCCCACAAAAUGUAUGAAUGAGAUUGUGCCAAGUAGUUAAGAACUGCCACGAGAGUGUGUUGACAAUGCUGAACUAAUUCAUUACCAGCUUUGCUCUUAUUUUCUGUUGAUUUCCACUUUCAUACUAAUAUGUUCGGAGAUGCUAGUCAUUUUUAUUUUUUUUAAAUGUUUGAAGGUUCCAAACAGAACCUUCAAAGUUCAGCUGGAAAUAAUAUAGAGAAUAUAGGAGAAAGUCAGAAAAAAUGCUUUCAUGGUUUAUUUUGAUGUGUAAGGUCUGAUAUGUUUUGUUUUAGUUUUGUUUUCAGGUAAUUGUAUGGAGUGAUUUUCCUGCUGAACGAAGCCUAGACCAGCCAAUCCGGUUGAGCCGGCGACCUUGAAUGACCGCUGAUCUAUAUCCUAUAUUAUGUUAAACGGAUGUACAUUCACCAGGAUGGCCGAGUGGUUAAGGCGUUGGACUUAAG